GACUACGGCCACACUACCCUGAACAAGCCCAAUCCCAUCUGAUCUUGGAAACUAAGCAAGGUCGGGCUUGGUUAGUACUUGCAUAGGAGACCAUCUAAGAAGAUCAGGUGCUGUAGGCA
rnacentral:rRNA from 1 species